CUGACAGAAGAGAGUGAGCACACAUGGUGACUUUCUUGCAUGCUGAACGAAUUCAUGCUUGAAGCUAUGUGUGCUCACUUCUCUCUCUGUCAG
rnacentral:pre_miRNA from 1 species